CCCUUAGAUGUCCUGGGCUGCACGCGCGCUACACUGAUGUGUCCAGUAGGCACCUAACCUAUUCCGAGAGGAGCGGGUAACCUUAGCAAAGCACAUCGUGAUGGGGAUAGAUUAUUGCAAUUAUUAGUCUUGAACGAGGAAUUCCUAGUAAGCACAAGUCAUCAGCUUGUGUUGAUUACGUCCCUGCCCUUUGUACACACCGCCCGUCGCUCCUACCGAUUGAAUGUUCCGGUGAGCUCUUCGGACUGCGCGGUCUGCAGUUUCUGCGUUCCGUGCGGAAAGUUGUGCAAACCUUAACAUUUAGAGGAAGGAGAAGUCGUAACA
rnacentral:rRNA from 1 species